rnacentral:rRNA from 1 species
AACGAACGCUGGCGGCAUGCCUAACACAUGCCAGUCGAACGAGACCUUCGGGUCUAGUGGCGCACGGGUGCGUAACGCGUGGGAACCUGCCCUUAGGUUCGGAAUAACUCCCCGAAAGGGGUGCUAAUACCGGAUAAUGUCUUCGGACCAAAGAUUUAUCGCCUUUGGGUGGGCCCGCGUUGGAUUAGCUAGUUGGUAGGGUAAAAGCCUACCAAGGCGACGAUCCAUAGCUGGUCUGAGAGGAUGAUCAGCCACACUGGGACUGAGACACGGCCCAGACUCCUACGGGAGGCAGCAGCGGGGAAUAUUGGACAAUGGGCGAAAGCCUGAUCCAGCAAUGCCGCGUGAGUGAUGAAGGCCUUAGGGUUGUAAAGCUCUUUUACCCGGGAUGAUAAUGACAGUACCGGGAGAAUAAGCUCCGGCUAACUCCGUG